rnacentral:sRNA from 1 species
UGCCUGUGGACAAAGCCAAGGCACCCCUGAGAGAGCUUCUCCGAGAGCGGGCAGAGAAGAUGGGCCAGAAUCUCAACCGUAUUCCAUACAAGGACACAUUCUGGAAGGGGACCACCCGCACUCGGCCCCGUGAGUCACCACUGUGGGAAGAAGGGUUGUAAAAGGAAAUAAUCCUGGCCUCUUGGGGCUGGGUUAGGGUGAAGCUGGGUACCUGACCUGCCCACACUCUUAGGAAAUGGAACCCUGAACAAACACUCUGGCAUUGACUUCAAACAGCUUAACUUCCUGACGAAGCUCAACGAGAAUCACUCCGGAGAGGUGACCCCUGCCCUUCUUGCCCUUCCCUCACUAAACCCCCAUAAAUUACUUGCUUUGUACCUGUUUUAAGUUUUUCCUCCAGUUAGUGGGCAAGGAAGUGGCAGCAACAGUUCAAGCCUCCUAACCCCUACCUGUCCUGCAGCUAUGGAAGGGCCGCUGGCAGGGCAAUGACAUUGUCGUGAAGGUGCUGAAGGUUCGAGACUGGAGUACAAGGAAGAGCAGGGACUUCAAUGAAGAGUGUCCCCGGCUCAGGAUUUUCUCGCAUCCAAAUGUGCUCCCAGUGCUAGGUGCCUGCCAGUCUCCACCUGCUCCUCAUCCUACUCUCAUCACACACUGGAUGCCAUAUGGAUCCCUCUACAAUGUACUACAUGAAGGCACCAAUUUCGUCGUGGACCAGAGCCAGGCUGUGAAGUUUGCUUUGGACAUGGCAAGGGGCAUGGCCUUCCUACACACACUAGAGCCCCUCAUCCCA